AGAGUUUGAUCCUGGCUCAGAUUGAACGCUGGCGGCAUGCCUUACACAUGCAAGUCGAACGGUAACAGGUCUUCGGAUGCUGACGAGUGGCGAACGGGUGAGUAAUACAUCGGAACGUGCCCGAUCGUGGGGGAUAACGGAGCGAAAGCUUUGCUAAUACCGCAUACGAUCUACGGAUGAAAGCAGGGGACCGCAAGGCCUUGCGCGGACGGAGCGGCCGAUGGCAGAUUAGGUAGUUGGUGGGAUAAAAGCUUACCAAGCCGACGAUCUGUAGCUGGUCUGAGAGGACGACCAGCCACACUGGGACUGAGACACGGCCCAGACUCCUACGGGAGGCAGCAGUGGGGAAUCUUGGACAAUGGGCGCAAGCCUGAUCCAGCCAUGCCGCGUGAGUGAAGAAGGCCUUAGGGUUGUAAAACUC
rnacentral:rRNA from 1 species